rnacentral:rRNA from 1 species
GAGUUCAUAUCGACGGCGGUGUUUGGCACCUCGAUGUCGGCUCAUCUCAUCCUGGGGCUGAAGCAGGUCCCAAGGGUAUGGCUGUUCGCCAUUUAAAGAGGUACGCGAGCUGGGUUUAGAACGUCGUGAGACAGUUCGGUCCCUAUCUACCGUGGGCGCUGGAAAUUUGAGAGGAUCUGCUCCUAGUACGAGAGGACCAGAGUGGACGAACCUCUGGUGUACCGGUUGUGACGCCAGUCGCAUCGCCGGGUAGCUAUGUUCGGAAGGGAUAACCGCUGAAAGCAUCUAAGCGGGAAGCCUACCUCAAGAUAAGAUUUCCCUAGGACUUUAUGUCCUCUAAAGAGCCGUUCGAGACUAGGACGUUGAUAGGUUGGAUGUGGAAGCAUAGUGAUAUGUGAAGCUGACCAAUACUAAUUGCUCGUGAGGCUUGACUAU